UAGUAUUUGUAAAUCUGCAAACAUCCAAAGCCAAUGUCUCAUUUGCGGUUGGAGAGGAGCGAUCCUUAACCAGUAGGACUAUUUCAGGCUCUUUAACAGCUGUGAAGGCAAAAAAGAGAAAGGGAGUUGACAACAGCGUUCAGACUAUUCUGCUUACCUACAGCUCCAACUAUUCAAAAACAAAAGAACUAUAAAUUCGUCUUCUGCCCACACUCCUAACUGAUAUCUGUCUUCUCAAUUGGAUCCAGGAAGAAUAUGAUCUGGUCCCUGUCUCCUAGGAGUGGAGCCAGCUUUGCAAAUGCAUCAGUACAAAAAUAACAAGUGAGCUGUACGCGGGAGAUUCAGGAAGAAUUGAACACUCUUAAAGAUUACCACUCUGGAACCGGGUUUUAUGUGAACAUGUUGUCACAACCAAGGAAACAACCGUACCUUUUUGUAUAAUUAUUAUAAAUGCUCAUUGCACCCUGCUCAUAAUUAAAUU